UGGUAACAAUCGGAAAAGAUAACACAGCAUGGAAGGGGAUAUAUAGGACGGGGGAAUGAUGGUGGUCUUGGGACCAUUGUUAACAGAAAAAGGCAGAA